CUACAAAACCAUCAAAUGAAGUAGCCGAGAGUGAAAAUCGAAUACUAUAACGAGUCAAGCAAAACUGAACUGCACCUUCCAAUUUGUUUUGGCUCACAUCUUGUAGUAGAAGAUGGCGGAUUCUCCAGUAGGAGCAGCAGGUAUGAGAUGCUCAUCAAUCACAACCAUGACAUCGUUGCAGAUAUCGGUCAGCUCAUUCUCGACUUUGGUCCUGUACUCUUUAAUCCUCUUAGCAUUCACUUCGUUGCCUCUCGACUCUUCCUUCUGCUCAAUGGACGACAGAAUCCUCCACGACGCUCGCCGAGCACCGAUCACGUUCUUGUAGCCAACAGAGAGCAAGUUCCUCUCCUCGAUCGUCAGCUCCACAUCUAGCUUCGCCAAAUUCUUCAUCGCUUCCACCAUUUCUGCAACGUAAAGCAGAUUAAACAAUCGGAUUUCUACUUAUCAGCUCCGAUGCAAAUUAGGUCAUAAGAGCGACUUGAUUUUCUCAAGUGAAGAGGAAUCGGAGAGCAAAAGAAGUCGAGCAAAAUUCUGGAGGAAUCGCUUACCUUCGUAGCGUUCAGCUUGCUCGGCGAGCUUGGCAGUGUAGACGAAUUGGUCUCUUUCAGCCAUGGCGAUAGAGGAAGGUAAAGCUCUGAUUGAACCAGAAAUGGUGCGAGUUGGUGAAGAGUGAGAGAGUAGGAGGAUGAAGAAGAAGAAAUCAAUGAGAGGUUUUAUGAAGGACAAGGACAGAAAUGGAACUUCACAGCUGGGAGUGGGUGGGGGGUAAAAGUGUCAAAUCGCGUCACGCUUGUCGGAUUAGCUGUCGGAAUGUUUUCAUUUGCUUCUCUUUCUUCUCUUUCCGGUACAACUUUACCGUCUGCAUAUAAAAAUAAUAAAGGAGUCGUCGUCGUCGCCGGCGUAAUGAAAAAGUCAAAUUGACUGCGUAAAAGACAAUUAAGAGUAAUUUUUACUACUAAAUAAGAAAAGAGCCAACGACACUGUCAACAUUUCCUCGUCCAUGUCGAAAAUAAAUCAAGAUCGAAAUGAAAGAGACAUGAAUCCAUAAUGGUUUAAUUGUACGCAAUCAGAUUAUAUAAAAGUUAAAGGUAACGAAUCGCAUAUUACAAAAUAUGUAAGAAUCAACGUUGAAACAUAAAAAAGAAGUUAAAAUAUUAUCGUCGGAGUGAGUGUGACUGACUCCUGCCUUGAAAGACUCUCCGAUGUUUGCUACGGGGCGAAACCAACGGCAUUUUUGUACACAUGAUAAGUAGCACCAUGGCUCCAUCACCUUGAAAGCGUGUAUGUGUUUUCAGUUAAAGUUUGUGUAACCGUAACCUUUUACUGUAACUGAUGCUCCACUUUGCUGCAUAAAGCAAAGGCAGUUUCGGUUUAGCUGUUUGCAAAAAGUUGUUGACGUCCCCGCGUUUCAUUAUUACCUCGGAGAGGUUCAAAUUAUAAAGCUGUAGGGACAGUGGCACGAGCCAUGUUUUGGAAGGGGCACUGGCGCUUGCUGUUUAAGGUUAUACAAAUGAGUUCGAGUUCGGCUAGAGUAAUUGGUUAAGUUCGUUUGCAAGUCUUAACAAGUCGAGUAAUUGGAUAAACUCAAUUUAGUAAUGGUACGAGCUGAUUCGCGAGCCAACCGAGCCUAGCCAGGGUUGGCUCGUGCUCACAUCGUGUAUUAUCGUGCAGGCUCACAAGAAGGCUUGUUUUGAAAUCGAGUCGAGUCUCGAUCAAUUUUUUUUCCUGAGCCGAACGACCGAAUUGCUGCAAGACAUAGACCGAGCAGCAAUAACCAGUACACACAGCUGAAGAAGCAGUCCAGCUUUGAACUCAUAUUAGCACAUCGACUAUAUCGUCUAGGUUGCGGGUUCGGCUUAAGAACCUUGCGCUAUAAACCAUUAGUCUCAACGGCUCAACCCUGGUACCAUUUCACUGAACUAGCCGAAAAUCAGCACUAGCCAGAAGGUGGUAAAAAAUGUGAACCCGAUGCUUUUUCCAUCAAGCAUCAUCAUACUUCAGUUGGAUCACAAUAACAGAACACAGAUUGCAGAGUACUGGACACUGUUUAUUAAUUUGGUACAAACUUACAAGUUUACAUUACAGGAUUGCUUCUCCAUUCACAAAGAAGAAAAAGCAAAGUGCACGCAAUUCGAGGGAGCCAUAGAAGAGGGAAGACUUUAUUUUUCAUAGAAAGCUAUAACUUAAACAAGCUCAGCUUUAGUAUGCCGCAAGCGUUACGAAAAAACAACAAAACUACGCAGAGAAGACUUGAAUGGCAAGGAAGAUAGAUGACAAAGGUUUAGCCUGUGUUUUGAAGGCCGGCAGCAAUACCUUUCAUGGUCAGAAUGAGAGUGUCUUCCAGGCCGGGAGCAUACUCGCUCGUCGGGUUAAGCUUCAACAGCUCAGCAGCGGGCUUCAUCCCAUCGUUGUAUUCCUUGGACAGGUGGGGCCUCAGGGCCACGUGGUAGUCAGGGUCUCGAACACGCUUCAGGGUGUAAGCUUGGGAGACGUUGAGGGUUGUGAUAUAUGCAUCGCGGAGACGAAGCCUCUGCUUCAGGUAUGGAUCUCCUUCCAACACUUCUUUGUGGCCAGCAAUCUGUAAUAAUGGAUACAAAGGGUUGCUUGAUUCGUUUCGUUAUCGUUCUUGAUAUGUUAUAAACUUAAAAUGGUAAAAUUCAUGAAUAAGUUACCUGGAGGAGGAAGUCCUUAGUUUGAAGGUACUUGGAUCUCAACUGGUCACCAAACGGACGCAAUUCUGGUGACACGAGGAGCUUGUCGUACAGAGCAGCAAUCUCGGGAUCGCCCUUGGCGAAAACCAUUUCGACCAGAUCAAUCGUGACUCGGAAGAACGGCCACUGGUUGUACAUAUCUUGAAGCAUUUUGAGGUUUUUGAUAUCCUUGUCGAUAACAUGCUUGAAAGCAGCUCCGAAGCCGAGCCAUACUGGUAAAUGGAAUCUUGUCUGUGUCCAGGCGAAAAUCCAUGGGAUCGCACGAAGCGAUUCUAUGCCUCCGCUUGGCUUUCUCCUCUCGACUCUUCCUUCUGCUCAAUGGACGACAGAAUCCUCCACGACGCUCGCCGAGCACCGAUCACGUUCUUGUAGCCAACAGAGAGCAAGUUCCUCUCCUCGAUCGUCAGCUCCACAUCUAGCUUCGCCAAAUUCUUCAUCGCUUCCACCAUUUCUGCAACGUAAAGCAGAUUAAACAAUCGGAUUUCUACUUAUCAGCUCCGAUGCAAAUUAGGUCAUAAGAGCGACUUGAUUUUCUCAAGUGAAGAGGAAUCGGAGAGCAAAAGAAGUCGAGCAAAAUUCUGGAGGAAUCGCUUACCUUCGUAGCGUUCAGCUUGCUCGGCGAGCUUGGCAGUGUAGACGAAUUGGUCUCUUUCAGCCAUGGCGAUAGAGGAAGGUAAAGCUCUGAUUGAACCAGAAAUGGUGCGAGUUGGUGAAGAGUGAGAGAGUAGGAGGAUGAAGAAGAAGAAAUCAAUGAGAGGUUUUAUGAAGGACAAGGACAGAAAUGGAACUUCACAGCUGGGAGUGGGUGGGGGGUAAAAGUGUCAAAUCGCGUCACGCUUGUCGGAUUAGCUGUCGG
rnacentral:lncRNA from 1 species